GCAUGCAAAAACCGAAUUUGUGCAAGGACCUGUCACUGCAGCCCUCAAAAAAGGCCAGCCACACCCCAGAAACCAAACAACCUCUGAUACAAGGACCUCGAUCUCCUUACCUCCUAUUCCCUCACCCACCUCCCCCCCUCCACACCAAACACCCACCAAAACCUCACCCUCAAGCUCUUGCUGAAGCUUGUGUUUGUGUUUGUGUUUGGAUUUUCGGUUGCUCGG
ensembl:ncRNA lncRNA:CR45516 long non-coding RNA:CR45516